rnacentral:rRNA from 1 species
GACUCCUACGGGAGGCAGCAGUGGGGAAUAUUGCACAAUGGGCGCAAGCCUGAUGCAGCGACGCCGCGUGAGGGAUGACGGCCUUCGGGUUGUAAACCUCUUUCAGCAGGGAAGAAGCCACAAGUGACGGUACCUGCAGAAGAAGCGCCGGCUAACUACGUGCCAGCAGCCGCGGUAAUACGUAGGGCGCAAGCGUUGUCCGGAAUUAUUGGGCGUAAAGAGCUCGUAGGCGGUUUGUCGCGUCUGCUGUGAAAGCCCGGGGCUCAACCCCGGGUCUGCAGUGGGUACGGGCAGACUAGAGUGCAGUAGGGGAGACUGGAAUUCCUGGUGUAGCGGUGAAAUGCGCAGAUAUCAGGAGGAACACCGAUGGCGAAGGCAGGUCUCUGGGCUGUUACUGACGCUGAGGAGCGAAAGCAUGGGGAGCGAACAGGAUUAGAUACCCUGGUAGUCCAUGCCGUAAACGUUGGGCACUAGGUGUGGGGGACAUUCCACGUUCUCCGCGCCGUAGCUAACGCAUUAAGUGCCCCGCCUGGGG